rnacentral:rRNA from 1 species
GCGGAUCUUCAUUAGCUUGCUUUUGAAGAUCAGCGGCGGACGGGUGAGUACACGUGGGCAACCUGCCUGUAAGACUGGGAUAACUUCGGGAAACCGGAGCUAAUACCGGAUAAUCCUUUCCCUCACAUGAGGGAAAGCUGAAAGACGGUU